rnacentral:lncRNA from 1 species
AUUUGAACUCAGGACCUCUGGAAGAGCAGUCAGUGCUCUUCCAUCUCUCCAGCCCUCAUUCUACUUUCCACACAGAACUACUUCACUGUCCGACCUAUCUAGGUGGAUCAUUUUGGUGCCCACAUUAGUGGGCACAUGAGCACACAGAUGCUGGCUCAUACUGUUUUCAUGAGUUUACCAGCUGAGUUCCUGGAAAUGGAGCUGCUGAGCGCUUCCUGGAGCUCUGCCAGCCUCUGCUUCCACGCAGGGUGAGCAUGCUUAGUGUCAUCUGUGCUUGUUAUGGGGCAGGCACAUCAUGGAGCUUUAAACUUUUCUUUUUGUAGAUGGGAACAUUGACAUUUCGGCACGCCUUUUUAAAAAGUUUGUCUUUUGACUGGUUGUAUUUUCUGUUUGCCAUGUUAAAAUAUUUUAUCUAAUUUUUUUUGUUGCUGAGGAUUGAACCUGGGUCUUGUGCAUACUAAACCAUAAGUAAGUUCUCUGUCCCGGACUUACAGUUUAUAUGUUGACAAGACUUUUAUAGCCCUGUUCCCCUCCUUCCCCUCUGUGUGUGUAUAUGUAUGUGUGUUUUAUUGAAACUAGGGUCUCACAUGUUUGGCAUGAGUUUUACAACUGUAUCCCUAACCUGUAGGUAUGUGCACGUGAGUGCUAUGUGCACCUGAGUGCAGGUGCCUUCAGAGGCCAGAAGCGUAGGAUGUUGUGCAGCUGGAGUUAAGCAGGGAGGUGAAGUGACCUCGGGAAGGGUAGUAAGUGCUCUUAUCCACUCAGCUCUCUCCAGCCUGGCAGUAUUUUAAAAUCAUUGGGUCAGACUAUUAGAUGGGCUUCAUUUGUUUUCCCAAAGACUUCUUUGUAAUAACUGCUUUGUGUGUGUGCAUGUGUUUUUAAUUUUGAUUCACUUAUGUGAGUACACUGUUGCUCUCUUCAGAUGCACCAGAAGAGGGCAUCGGGUUCCAUGCAGAUGGUUGUGAGCCACCAUGUGGUUGCUGGGAAUUGAACUCAGGACCUCUGGAAGAGCAGUCAGUGCUCUUAACUGCUGAGCCAUCUCUCCAACUUCCAUGUUCUUUUAAUAUGAGAACUUUUAUGGUUUUAAUUUUUUUGCUUUUAAAAUAUUUUACCCAGAUGCUCUAUUGGAAAUCUGCCAUGUUUUUCUAUAGUCAUGAUUCCUAUCUGGGUUUACCUUCUGUGUGUUGUUUCCAUUGCUCUGACUGUAUACACACGCUUGCCGUACCUUUAUCGCGUAUCUGAAUGUCUGGUAGGAAGAGUAGUGCCUUUGCCUUGGUUUAUGGAAAAAAAAGGAUAAUUGGUAAGGGCCAGAAUGGGACAGUCAUUGUCCAGACCAGUCCGGACAUCUGGGUAGGCAGUGAAGAGAGUAAUGAGUCUCCAUGGCCCACAUGGAGCUCUUCCUCAGGCUUCUGCCCAGUGAAUGUUCAGAGAGCCAAAUGGUUCAAAUGUCAGUGAGCAUUCUGAAUGGGCUAACAAAUCACCUCACCUGGAGGAGGUUUCUGUGCUGCAUGGUUGUCAAAAUCAUUUGUUUCUAAGUCUUGUAAACUAUGAGUCACAACGUUGGAAGUUAGAAAGACUGAUCUUUAGAUUUUUGGGGCAUGUAAGGAUU